AGACGGCCAACUGACACUUGCAGCAGCAGCAGCAACAACAACAACAACAACGAGCGACGAGCGACGACGACUUUGCAACUUGAAAUUGAUUUAUGGCGCAAAUUUUAUUGUCUGGUUCGGGACUGGAACGUGUGUGGACCCACUUGGCCGUCUGGUGUCUGGUGUCUGGUCAGUUUCAACUUGUUAGCCACUAACUGUAACUGUAAAUUGUGCGUAUGUGUUGGUGAAUUGUGCGCGUGUCCAUGUGUUGUUGCUGUUGCUGCUGUUGCUGCUGUUGCUGUUGCUGCUGUGACAUUGACUAAGUCGAAAGGGGGACAGCGGGAAGUUUUCAUUUCACAAACAAAUCAAAUGAAUGACUGAGUGCAACUUUGUACAGAAAAUCGUUAUAAAUUAUAUAUGGCGCGCGAAUUGCGAAUAAAAUCAUAAAUUCAACAAAACAUGUGACAACUUUCGCUGGGACACAACAACAACACAACAGACAUUGGCAUUAUAGCAGAACUUUUACACAUAAUCGUCAACAAGUCUCCGGCGAAUACAACAACGCCAACGCCUUUGGGCCACAAGCUGCAAAUGCUGUACCGGCAGCAACUACUCUCUCACUUCGGUUCGAAGGUAAGCAAAACUACAACUUGGCCAAAAGAAUAAAAAAAAACUUGUACAAAAAAAAGGGCAAACGCCCCAAAGUGGCAAUAACAAAGAGAACAAGCAUCGUAACAUCGCCAACUUUUACUUGGGGGCUCUUUGGGGGCUUUGAGCCAAGUCGCAGCUCUUGGACCUGGUCGACGUCUCGGCGAAACUCUUUCAAGUUUUUUUGACAGCUGCUGUCAAAUGUUGAAAGCAAGCCAGGCCCCAGCCAAGAGAACAACCAUACAGAAAUCUAAAACAAGUCAGAGUCAGACACAGAUACAGAUACAGGCACAGAUUCAGAUACAGAUACAGAUACAUCCAAAGAGCCAUAGAGUCAGUCAUGGCCAUGGCCCAAAGUGCCCCAAAGUUGCUGCCCCUUCUCACCCGUCGCAUAUCAGCGAACAUCUCUAUAUACACACAUUCUUAUAGCCUCUUCCUUAACUCUCUAAGCAAACUAUUCAAAAUGAAACCUAAACAAAAAACCAAAAAAACAA